CCAUCCACUCUUAUGUAUUUCACUCUUCCAGCUUCAUCCAAGGUUUUCAGACCAAUCCAGUCUUCAAUGUAGAGUUUUGUCUGCAGAAAUCAAGCAGAAGUGAUCAUAUUGUCGAACAAUGGAGCUAUCGGUAUGAUUAGAGAUGUCCAUUUAAUCUGCGUAAAAUUUCGGUUGACAUGGAGAACGGGGUAGAGAGUAGAGAGAGUUUUCUUUCUGUUGGCUAAAUGGGAAUGAGUAUGAGGUUAGAGAGAGUUUUCUUUCUGUUGGCUAAAUGGGAAUGAGUAUGAGGUUGAUUAUUUAUUUAUUGUUACCCAAUUCAAUGUUUAUAGCUAGAUUCAUUAUAUAAUAAGAGUUGCUUGGGUUUUACUAUCCGAAAA